GUUUUUUGUUUUUAUAAAAAAUAAUACCUGCUCGGUGAUAUUUUUAACAGCCGCAGUAAUUUGACUGUGCUAAGGUAGCGUAAUCAUUUGUCUUUUAAUUGAAGACUUGUAUGAAUGGUUUGUUGAAAAAAUAAUUGUUUCUUUAAUUUUUAUUUAAUUUACCUUUUAAGUAAAAAGGCUUAAAUUAAUUUAAGGGACGAAAAGACCCUAUUAAAUUUUAUAAUUUUUUUUAUUUAAUUUUCUUAUUAUGUUUAUUUAUUAUUUUGCUGGGGCGGUAAAAAUAGAAUAUCUUUUUUAAAAUUUUUAAUUAUUAAUUUAUUUUUUGAUCUUUAUUUUUAAAUUAUUUGAUUAAAUUGCUAUAGGGCUAACAGCAUAAUUUAUUUUGAAAGUUCAAAUUGAUAAAUAAGAUUGUGACCUCGAUGUUGGGUUAAAUUUACUUUUUGAUGAAGUUGUUUUAUAAGUAAGUCUGUUCGACUUUUAAAUUUUUACA
rnacentral:rRNA from 1 species